rnacentral:rRNA from 1 species
UCGGCUAGGGGUCCAUCCCGGAUUACCAACCCGAUGCAAACUGCGAAUACCGAAGAGUAAUGCAUAGGAGACACACGGUGGGUGCUAACGUCCAUCGUGGAGAGGGAAACAACCCAGACCGCCAGCUAAGGUCCCAAAGUCUAUAUUAAGUGGGAAACGAAGUGGGAAGGCUUAGACAGCUAGGAUGUUGGCUUAGAAGCAGCCAUCAUUUAAAGAAAGCGUAAUAGCUCACUAGUCGAGUCGGCCUGCGCGGAAGAUGUAACGGGGCUAAAAUAUAGCACCGAAGCUGCGGCAUCAGGCGUAUCACUAAUACGCCUUACGAUUAACAACAUCGAAUGAAGUGAAACGGAAAGAGAUGUUGGUCAAGCAACCCGAACGUUGAGUCGGAAAGUAAUCGAAGAGAGGAUUAUUAGUGAUACGCCUGUUGGGUAGGGGAGCGUUGUGUAAGCGGAUGAAGGUGAAUCGAGAGGUUUGCUGGACGUAUCACAAGUGCGAAUGCUGACAUAAGUAACGAUAAAACGAGUGAAAAACUCGUUCGCCGGAAGACCAAGGGUUCCUGUCCAACGUUAAUCGGGGCAGGGUGAGUCGGCCCCUAAGGCGAGGCUGAAAAGCGUAGUCGAUGGGAAACGGGUUAAUAUUCCCGUACUUGGUAAAGCUGCGAUGUGGGGACGGAGAAGGUUAGGUUAGCAGACUGUUGGAUGUCUGUUUAAGUUGGUAGGUGGGGAGUUUAGGCAAAUCCGGACUUCCAUAACACUGAGAGAUGAUGACGAGUUUCUACGGAAAUGAAGUAACUGAUACCACGCUUCCAGGAAAAGCCACUAAGCGAAAGGCUUUACUAAACCGUACUGAAAACCGACACAGGUAGUCAGGUAGAGAAUACUCAGGCGCUUGAGAGAACUCGGGUGAAGGAACUAGGCAAAAUAGCACCGUAACUUCGGGAGAAGGUGCGCUGGCGUAGGUUGUAGGAGUAUACCUCCGAAGGCUGAACCAGUCGAAGAUACCAGCUGGCUGCAACUGUUUAUUAAAAACACAGCACUCUGCAAACACGAAAGUGGACGUAUAGGGUGUGAUGCCUGCCCGGUGCUGGAAGGUUAAUUGAUGGUGUUAUCGAAAGAGAAGCUCCUGAUCGAAGCCCCAGUAAACGGCGGCCGUAACUAUAACGGUCCUAAGGUAGCGAAAUUCCUUGUCGGGUAAGUUCCGACCUGCACGAAUGGCAUAAUGAUGGCCAGGCUGUCUCCACCCGAGACUCAGUGAAAUUGAAAUCGCCGUGAAGAUGCGGUGUACCCGCGGCUAGACGGAAAGACCCCGUGAACCUUUACUAUAGCUUGACACUGAACAUUGAAUUUUGAUGUGUAGGAUAGGUGGGAGCCUAAGAAGCAGUCACGCCAGUGAUUGUGGAGGCGUCCUUGAAAUACCACCCUUUAACGUUUGAUGUUCUAACGAAGAUUGCGAAACGCGGUCUCGGACAGUGUCUGGUGGGUAGUUUGACUGGGGCGGUCUCCUCCCAAAGAGUAACGGAGGAGCACGAAGGUUUGCUAAUCACGGUCGGACAUCGUGAGGUUAGUGCAAUGGUAUAAGCAAGCUUAACUGCGAGACAGACAAGUCGAGCAGGUGCGAAAGCAGGUCAUAGUGAUCCGGUGGUUCUGAAUGGAAGGGCCAUCGCUCAACGGAUAAAAGGUACUCCGGGGAUAACAGGCUGAUACCGCCCAAGAGUUCAUAUCGACGGCGGUGUUUGGCACCUCGAUGUCGGCUCAUCACAUCCUGGGGCUGAAGUAGGUCCCAAGGGUAUGGCUGUUCGCCAUUUAAAGUGGUACGCGAGCUGGGUUUAGAACGUCGUGAGACAGUUCGGUCCCUAUCUGCCGUGGGCGUUGGAGAAUUGAGAGGGGCUGCUCCUAGUACGAGAGGACCGGAGUGGACGCAUCACUGGUGUACCAGUUGUCUCGCCAGAGGCACUGCUGGGUAGCUAAAUGCGGAAGAGAUAAGUGCUGAAAGCAUCUAAGCACGAAACUCGCCUUAAGAUGAGUUCUCCCACACAAUAAGUGUGUAAGGGUUGUUGGAGACUACGACGUAGAUAGGCGUGGUGUGUAAGCGGUGUGAGCCGUUGAGCUAACACGUACUAAUUGCCCGAGAGGCUUAACUAU